GGGCGCAUAGCUCAGCAGGUUAGAGCGCUUCCCUUACAAGGAAGAGGCCGACGGUUCGAGUCCGUCUGCGCCCA
rnacentral:tRNA from 1 species